GGGUAUAGCUCAGUGGUAGAGCAUGUGCUUGGCGUACAGGAGGUCCUGGGUUCAAACUCUAGUGUGCCCA
rnacentral:tRNA from 1 species